rnacentral:rRNA from 1 species
AUGAACAACUGGGACAACAAAAAAACUAUGGGCCCUAUUUUUGGCCUCAAGAGCUCGCAGGUGAGACCAUAUGGAUCCAACAAGACAAUGCGCCCUCACAUGUCCCAAUCAAUGUCUGAUAGGCUGGUGUCUAACAAUUUAGAUGAGCUAAUAAACAAUGUGCAUCAUGAAUAUGAUGCCUAUGAUGCCGAUAAGAUAAACAGAAUUUUCCUAACACUACAAAGCUGCUUAAUUGAGGUCAUGAAGAGAGGUGGAGGCAACGACUACAAGAUCCCUCACAUGUACAAGGAUGGCCUAGAACGAGCAGGAAAUCUUCCUAAUGUGACUGUGAUCGCGAACUAUAUGAGAGCAUCACGCAGGCCUUAG